rnacentral:rRNA from 1 species
UACGUAGGGUGCGAGCGUUGUCCGGAAUUAUUGGGCGUAAAGAGCUCGUAGGCGGUCUGUCGCGUCGAAUGUGAAAACCCGGGGCUCAACUCCGGGCUUGCAUUCGAUACGGGCAGGCUAGAGUUCGGUAGGGGAGUCUGGAAUUCCUGGUGUAGCGGUGAAAUGCGCAGAUAUCAGGAGGAACACCGGUGGCGAAGGCGGGACUCUGGGCCGAUACUGACGCUGAGGAGCGAAAGCGUGGGAGCGAACAGG